CCAGGAUAUACAACAAUCACCAGAGUCAACAAACACAAAUAGGAUGCAAGUUUCACCUGCGUAAGUUUGAUCCCACGAAGGAAUAAAAACAAAAGUUCCAAAAGUGGUUCCCUACUUCCAGAUCGAGGAUCCUCCCGCCGUCCAUACGAGAGAUGGCGAGUUCUUGGGGCAGAGUUGUGGCCACGAAUCCACAGUCCACACGGCGACGCGAUCAAGAUCCAUAGUUCGCACGGCAGCCGGCCACACGGUAACUCUGCUGCAUCGGUAGACGCCUGUUGUCUACAAAGGUAGCGCGUACGUAGUGAUCUUCACCGCCGCGGCAUGCUCCACCUCGUCCCGAUCGCCGCCCCAUCAUACAUGGCGACCGAUGGCCGGAGAGGACCAACAUGCAACGCUAGUUGGCGGAAGAGAGAGGUUGCGGGAGGAGAUGAAGACGAGGGCGUCCAACU
rnacentral:lncRNA from 1 species